rnacentral:lncRNA from 1 species
GUUGAUUGUGUUCCGUUUGUUUGUUUGUCUUGUUUGGGUAGAGCCGGGAGAUGAGUUUGCUAACGAGGAGCCCAUUGAGUUUGCUUUCGAGGAUCCAGUCAACUCUGACAACUUUGCAGGCAAGAUGAUCAUACCCUCGAAAUCACUACUAUCUUUGCUAUGUUAGAUGCUCGCUCUUUUGCUAUGCCUAUACUACGAUGCCUACCAUUUGCUUAUCAUGCCUCCCAAAUUGCCAUGUCAAACCUCUAACCCACCAUGUCCUAGCAAACCGUUGAUUGGCUAUGUUACCGCUUUGCUCAGCCCCUCUUAUAGCAUUGCUAGUUGCAGGUGAAGAUUGAAGACCGUUCCUUGUUGGAACAUUAUUUACUUGUUGGGAUAUUAUUAUAUUGCCAUGUUAUCUUAAUGCAUCUAUAUACUUGGUAAAGGGUGGAAGUCUCGGCCUCUCGCCUAGUGUUUUGUUCCACUCUUGCCGCCCUAGUUUCCGUCAUAUCGGUGUAAUGUUCUCGGAUUUUGCGUUCCUUACGCGGUUGGGUUAUAAUGGGAACCCCUUGAUAGUUCGCCUUGAUUAAAGCUUUUCCAGCAAUGCCCAACCUUGGUUUUACCAUUUGCCACCUAGCCUCUUUUUCCCUUGGGUUUUCGGAGCCCGAGGGUCAUCUUAUUUAAACCCCCCGGGCCAGUGCUCCUCUGAGUGUUGGUCCAACCUAGAGCCCCUUGCAGCGCCACCUGGGGGAAACUCGAGGGCUGGUUUUAGUUGUACGGAUUGCUUAUCCGAUUAUGCCUUGAGAACGAGAUAUGUGCAGCUCCUAUCGGGAUUUGUCGGCACAUUCGGGCGGUGUUGCUGGAUUUGUUUUAACCUGUCGAAGUGUCUUGAAGAACCGAGGUACCGAGUCUGAUCGGAACGUCUCGGGAGGAGGUCUAUUCCUUCAUUGACCGUGAGAGCUUGUCAUGGGCUAGGUUGGGACUCCCAUGCAGGGAUUUGAACUUUCGAAAGCCAUGCCCGCAGUUAUGGGCAGAUGGGAAUUUGUUAAUGUCCGAUUGUAGAUAACUUGAACCUUAACUUAAUUAAAAUGAAUCAACAGUGUGAGUUACCGUGAUGGUCUCUUCUCGGCGGAGUCCGGGAAAUGAACACGGUGUUGGAGUAAUGCUUGCCGCAGGUUGCCCUCUAGUUAUUCGUUCGUGCUUUGCCUCCUCUUCCCGCUCUCUUGUGCGAUCAGGAUAGCCACUAUAUAUGCUAGUCGCUUGCUGCAGCUCCACAUAUUUACCUUGCCUUACCUAUAAGCUUAAAUAGUUUUGAUCGCGAGGGUGCGAGAUUGCUGAGUCCCUAUGGCUCACAGAUUACUAUUAUACCAGAUGCAGGGCCUGAUGAUUCCGCUCCAGGUGACGCGCUUGAGCUCAAGUGGGAGUUCGACGAGGACUCUCAACGAUAUUAUGUUUCCUUUCCUGAUGAUCAGUAGUGGUGCCCAGUUGGGGUGAUCGGGACCGUGUCGCAUGUUGGGUUAUCUUUUAUUUUGGCGCCGUAGUCGGGCCAUGAGUGUUUGAAUGUUGUAAUGCUAUUUAUGUACCUUGAUUGAUGUGGCGAGUGUAAGCCAACUAUGUUAUCUCCCCUUUUAUUAUCUAUAUUACAUGGGAUGUUG